rnacentral:tRNA from 1 species
UGUUUCGAGGCUUAGUUGGUUAAAGCACCGGUCCAGCGAUACGGAGUUGUAGGUUUGAAUCCCACCAAAUCAA